ACACGGUGCUACAAAAAAAAUCAUGAAAUACUCCCGAAACAAAACCUAGUGUAGGUUGCAGCUAUGGUCGAGUACAACGUGAAAAUAGGUCCCGUAUAAUUCAAAAAUUUCUAUUCAAGU